UCCCCUUUUAAAGGGCAGUCUCGCUAGACAGAGUAACUAGCGACAAGGGUUGCGCUCGUUGCGGGACUUAACCCAACACCUCACGGCACGAGCUGACGACAGCCAUGCAACAUCUGUGCUAGUGCCCCUUGCGGGGAAACCCGCUUUCACGGGCUGUCACUAGCAUUUCAAGCCCUGGUAAGGUUCUUCGCUUAUCAUCGAAUUAAACCACACGCUCCGCUGCUUGUGCGGGCCCCCGUCAAUUCUUUUGAGUUUUAGCCUUGCGGCCGUACUCCCCAGGCGGGGUACUUAGCGCGUUAGCUACGGCACAGGGGGGGUCGAUACCCCCUAUACCCAGUACCCAUCGUUUAGGGCGUGGACUAC
rnacentral:misc_RNA from 1 species